UCUGAAGUUUCCAUCAGGAUAGCUGAUGUACGUAAUGAAGCUGUUAUAUUCGGUAAAGCGAAUGAUUAGAGGAAUUGUGGGAAAAAAACGUCUUCAACCUAUUCUCAAACUUUCGAUGAGUAUGACGUCUCGUUGCUUGAAUGCUCCACGUACGCCAUUUGUGGUAAGCAGAAGUGACGCUAGGGGGUGAACCAAAUGUUGAGUUACUUCAAACUUUAUUGCAUACGCAAUUUACGCGUCUUCUAAGCUAGA
rnacentral:ncRNA from 1 species